CCCCCCCCCCCCCCCCCCCAGAAAUUCGAACCCUGAUUCUCCCCUUAUAUAUAAUCGCUUCCUGUUCAGAAAAAAGGGAGGGUGGAGAAAAAUAUUGGAAAGUCAGGAGUUUGUUUUUUCUUUUUGGAAAAUUUUGAAUCAAGGAAAAAGGAUAAGACACAGGGAAAUACAUAAGUUUCUUUGAGGCUGAAAUAGACACUAAAAUCAACUAGUGUUUUAAAGAGCAUCUCAUUUCCAGUUUCUUCUUUCGAACACGACCCUCCCGCUGCUCGUUGGAACUCUUUAAGUUGCUGGUGGUGGAAUAGAACGCUCCAAACUCGUCCUGUCCCGUUUACUGCCCUCGAGAAGGUAAUAUUUCAUUUUUUGAUUUUAGUUUCUUUCGUCGUGAGCUAAUAGUUGCAUAAGUUUAUGGUUUGGUGUUGUAAUGUUUUUGAUCAGCUGAUUCGAGGACUGCUUGUUUCUUGAUUGUUGCGAGUCAUUCGAAAUGUUAGAAUUUUGAGAAUAUUCUGACUUAUUGUUGGUUGCAAAUCGGUAGUGUAAACUUAUUUGUCUAUUCAAAUGAUCUUUUGGUCUUGGUGUUUCCAUUUGGUAUCGAGUUGACUCAUAUAAGCUAAUAUCUUUUAUUUCUAUGUUAAUCUCAUUAUGUCGCCUGUGGUUCGUAGUUCCAUUAUGAAUUUUCGGUUCAACUUUAUCUGCUUCUCUUUAGCGUUUCAGUUCUUGCUUAAGGCUGAAUAGCAGCGUUUGGGUUUAUGUUGUUGGUUGUUAUUUUAUAAAGCCGAACUUAUGGAAUUAUCAAGUUUCUUUUUAGCUAUCAGUGAGCCAUCUCGGGGAUUGUCAAUACUUGUCGCAAAAUCGAUUCAAUAUUUUGGUGUACCUCGAUGCUUAUCGUAUCAUCUUUUGCAAUCAGAUCUUUGAGUAGUCUUUUAUUCUUAAGUUCUUCAUAAUGCUGACGUAGCUUUUUUUCAUAGUGAUUUUUAUUUAGCUUUUGAAUGAAANNNNNNN
rnacentral:lncRNA from 1 species